rnacentral:piRNA from 1 species
UUCAUUAUAUUUGCCAUGGUC